rnacentral:rRNA from 1 species
GUGAACGCUGGCGGUAGGCCUAACACAUGCAAGUCGCACGGCAGCACAGUAAGAGCUUGCUCUUACGGGUGGCGAGUGGCGGACGGGUGAGGAAUACAUCGGAAUCUACUUUUUCGUGGGGGAUAACGUAGGGAAACUUACGCUAAUACCGCAUACGACCUACGGGUGAAAGCAGGGGAUCUUCGGACCUUGCGCGGUUGAAUGAGCCGAUGUCGGAUUAGCUAGUUGGCGGGGUAAAGGCCCACCAAGGCGACGAUCCGUAGCUGGUCUGAGAGGAUGAUCAGCCACACUGGAACUGAGACACGGUCCAGACUCCUACGGGAGGCAGCAGUGGGGAAUAUUGGACAAUGGGCGCAAGCCUGAUCCAGCCAUACCGCGUGGGUGAAGAAGGCCUUCGGGUUGUAAAGCCCUUUUGUUGGGAAAGAAAAGCAGCAGGUUAAUACCCCGCUGUUCUGACGGUACCCAAAGAAUAAGCACCGGCUAACUUCGUG